rnacentral:rRNA from 1 species
UACGUAGGGUGCAAGCGUUGUCCGGAAUUAUUGGGCGUAAAGAGCUCGUAGGCGGUUUGUUGCGUCGGCUGUGAAAUCCCGAGGCUCAACCUCGGGUCUGCAGUCGAUACGAGCAAACUAGAGUGUUGCAGGGGAGACUGGAAUUCCUGGUGUAGCGGUGAAAUGCGCAGAUAUCAGGAGGAACACCGGUGGCGAAGGCGGGUCUCUGGGCG